rnacentral:rRNA from 1 species
UACGUAGGGGGCGAGCGUUGUCCGGAUUUACUGGGCGUAAAGAGCGCGCAGGCGGUCGUUCAAGUCGCGUGUGAAAGCCCCCGGCUCAACUGGGGAGGGUCACGCGAUACUGCUCGACUUGAAGGCAGGAGAGGGAAGUGGAAUUCCCGGUGUAGUGGUGAAAUGCGUAGAUAUCGGGAGGAACACCAGUGGCGAAGGCGACUUCCUGGCCUGUUCUUGACGCUGAGGCGCGAAAGCUAGGGUAGCAA